UUCUCCAAAGUGCUCAGCUGGAAUCCUAUGAGAUCACUUGGAAGCAGCAAGAAAGGAGUGAGACUGUUCAGUGGGAAACAAUGGACUCGGCUUGCUUCAGUUUGGAAGUCGUCAUUUGACUGGCUUUAGAAAAACUAUUCUUCAAGACUAAAACCACUUGCAACAUUCAGUGUUAGCAAAGAGUGAGCUGGGCUGCAAACUAGGUAAGAUUUUUCAGAAAACAACAUGACAAGCUUAGUGGCCUGUAGUUCUUUGAGCUCACUGUCCUUCCAUUAAAAAACAGCCUGCCAAAAUGGGGUUCGCUUUUCCCAAACUGCCCUAGAUAACCUGUCUGAUAUUGGCAGGACAUGCUGCCGGACAGCUGGCUAUGAUUCAAGGAAUUUCAUCACUAUUGUGCUUUGAAGACUAAUACUAAUAAUGCAAUGGAGAUUUUAGCAAUUCUUUCUUAAAUUUCC
rnacentral:lncRNA from 1 species